rnacentral:rRNA from 1 species
GGUGAGCAUGUGGUUUAAUUCGAUGAUACGCGAAGAACCUUACCGGGGUUUGACAUGCAGGUGAUCGCCGUUGAAAGACGGUUUCCUCUUCGGAGGCACCUGCACAGGUGCUGCAUGGCUGUCGUCAGCUCGUGUUGUGAAAUGUUGGGUUAAGUCCCGCAACGAGCGCAACCCUUAUCCUUUGUUGCCAGCGGUCCGGCCGGGAAACUCAAAGGAGACUGCCAGUGAUAAACUGGAGGAAGGUGGGAUGACGUCAAGUCAUCAUGGCCCUUACGACCAGGGCUACACACGUGCUACAAUGGCGCAUACAAAGAGAAGCGACCUCGCGAGAGCAAGCGGACCUCAUAAAGUGCGUCGUAGUCCGGAUUGGAGUCUGCAACUCGACUCCAUGAAGUCGGAAUCGCUAGUAAUCGUGGAUCAGAAUGCCACGGUGAAUACGUUCCCGGGCCUU